AAGAAGCACCUGUCAAUCCAGGCCGAUCGGAUGGGGGGGGUGCUGCCUCCCCGCCCACUCCCUAGCCGCUACCGGUCAGGCUUUUGCCCGGUGCGCUGCUUUAUCCCGGGAAGCCGUGUGGGCGCGUCAUCGGCUGGUGCCUCCUUUCUUCCGUUUCCGGGUGGUGGCUGCCUUCCUUCAUUUUGCAGCUCAAAGGGGAGGCAGGGUAGGACCCUGCUGAGCCCAGCGCCGCAACGUGGUCGGGAGCGGCUUUGUUCGCCGAGAGGGCAGUCCUGCGGUGGUUCUGCCGAAGCAUAAAAGCGGAGCCCGGGAGUACGAGAUGGAGGGGUGGGUGCAGAGGCUCUUUAGGGGCUGCCCCGUGCGCGCAGCCCGCUCCGCUGGAGCUCCUCGGCAGCCCCCGGGCUCCUGCCGAGCGCUAAGCGGAGCGCGGAAGCUGGCAGCAGCGAGGGACGUGCGGUAAGAGGGAGCGUUUGCGGGGCUAAAGAACAAAAGCAGUGCGUCCCGCAAGUAAUAAAUCUGAGCGUAUUCCCUGCUUUGUGGGGAUGGCGUCUGAACGUUUGGUAGUAGUAACAGCCAUCUGUGUUACUUUCGGAAACCAACCCAUCUUGUGACCAAGACAUAGAAGAGUUCUUGUUUUCUGUGAUUUAUGUGUUAUGAUUGAUGAGCAAGGUUGUUCACUGCAUGUGCAACAAUUCAUAGUGGAUAAAGCUUAUUUAAUCUUUGCAAAAUGUAUGUCUUUUAUAUUUUUGUUUCUUUGUCAAACUGAUGUGUUAUGGAGAAGCUCCCUGAGUCUUAUGUAGAAGAGGCUAAGUGGCCCAGUUUGUCACUUCUGAUCUACCACAAAGAUGCCUGUUGCUUUAAUGUUCUGGAGAUUCAGGAAGGGAAUUAAGUGAAAUUUAAUUAAAAAGGCAAAGAUGUUACCAUGCUGAACUAGAAUUCUCAAUUAAAAAUUAAUAGACACACAUUAGGUUGUGAUGGAAACUUGAUUGUAUUUGGAAUCCCAUGUCUAAUUCCAGCUAUUUCCACAAGGAUAUGGUUAAUAAGAAAAGAGAAGCGAAAUGGAGACAUCACACUGAAGGGUCAUAAAUCCUUGUGGGGGUAAGCUCCUUCAGGAACAGCAUAACCUCAGCUGCAGUGGAAUCCUCUGUAGUCAAAGAGAUGCCCUUGGUUGGUGGUACUCUGGGCAUACCAGGCUUACAGAGAGAGCAGUGGUGCGAGGAAGCCGAGGCAUGCCUGUUAGAGCAGCAGCAGCAACAUGCGCAAUGUUCCUCUAACAGUUACAGCAAUCCUGUUGCCACGGAGAUAAUGACUUAUCCCAUGUCAUUAUUGAUCUAUCAACAACAAUGAUUCAAAUCACCCGUUCACGAGAAGUAUUAUUGGAACUCCCAUGGGAUUUCUGAUGUUUUGCUCUUCUUCCUCUUAGAAGAACUGUUAUCAGUUCAAUUUUGAAAACAGUAACAAAAGCACAUUCAAACUGUGGAGUUUAAACUCAAUCAUUUCCAGACCUUCUGCAGCUGAGCAAAAUUAGUGGUUAUGAAUUGAUGGUUUGAGUUUCUUACACGUACACAAGAACAAAGGUGUCUAAGAAUGAUACUGUCACAGAGGCUUUUCCCUUUGGAGGAAAAAAAAAAAAAAAAAAAGUGGGUGUGUGUGGCAGGGGUGAAGGGGAGGCAGCUGGUUGAAAAGAUCAGAAGAAAAGGCUUGUUUCAGCUUAUCAGGACAGGACUCCUCUUUGUGUCCGAGUCAGAUAUUUCUUCCUUACUUGUAGCAGAGCCUGAAAAUGAAACGUUAUUAUAUGCAAUAACAGUUAGCUCUACUUAAGUGUUUUAUUGUCUCUUGAAGCUUUUUUGAAGCUCCUGUUCUGCAUGCCAGGUGAAUAAUUUGAGGUGUAUCAUCAGGGAAACAUCUGGCAGCAUCAACUUGUCCUUUGAGACCAGUUAGAAUGCUCAGUGUACCUACAGUUCUGGACUGCACAGUUAAAAUCUGUGUGGCAUACAUACAUUUUGAAUGCUGAAGAAGAAGCUGUGAAACUUUUAUAGUAAUUUUACCUAACUGGUGAUCUAAGCCAGUUGUUGGAUUUGGAUCCUUUAAUGGGGGGAAGUCAUGCUAAUGAUAAAAGUAGAAGUGUUUUGAGUCCUGUACUGAGUGAAUAGAAUGUAAAAUGUUCAAGUUAGAGAGCAGACCUUUAAAUUAGACACUUUUUAGAUGUCAAAGUAAUUAAUACAAUAGUACAAAUUAGUACCAAGUAAUUAGUCCCAGUAUGAUGAGUGUACUAAGUCUGCUUUGGGAAUUGUGAAGCUGUCCCGUGACAAGAACCAUGCGGUGUGAACUUCGGAAUAGAGAAAAAUUGCUGUUCAGUGUAAGCAAGCUUCUUGCAACUAUGUUUCCUGAGCAGAGACUUUUAGACCUUUGUUGCUUAUUUGCAGGUGAUAGCAAUCCUUGAGUCUUUCACUAUUACAUUAUUGUAUCUCUUGGCCUCUUUUUGACUUGGAGUUAAGAACGGCAGAAUUUUUCACCGGUCUAAAAAAAAAAAAAAAAAAAAAACACAUUGCACAAAGCUGAGAAAGUAAAAUUUAUCUGCUAAACACAAGUAUACUAUUAUUGGGUCAAGUACUGAACAAACGAAAGCUAAA